CAGUGGAGUUGGUGAAAGCUGCAGAUAUCAAAGUCAUAGCAGCUCUGGGGGACUCUCUAACGACAGCUAUUGCUGCCAAUGGCUCCACCAUUCUGUCAGUCCCUGUUGAAUAUCGGCAUGUUUCAUGGAGUAUUGGAGGUUAUGGAACUUAUCAAGAUGUCAUCACACUUGCAAACAUUUUCAAGCUGUUUAACCCCGAGCUGCUGGGUCCGGCUCCACGGUGGACGCUCCAUGGCUACCCUACUAGCAUCAAUGAGACAGGAUUCAACUUUGCUGUGACAGGACACAACUCUCUGAAUGUCUCUGACCAGACCAGACAUAUGAUCGACACGUU